UCUUCGGAGAGUUUGAUCCUGGCUCAGGACGAACGCUGGCGGCGUGCCUAAUACAUGCAAGUCGAGCGAAUCGACGGGAGCUUGCUCCCAGAGAUUAGCGGCGGACGGGUGAGUAACACGUGGGCAACCUGCCUAUAAGACUGGGAUAACUUCGGGAAACCGGAGCUAAUACCGGAUACGUUCUUUUCUCGCAUGAGAGAAG
rnacentral:rRNA from 1 species